ensembl:lncRNA
ACUGUGAGAAGGGCUGUUCGGCAGUGGAACUCUCUCCCCGGGGCCAUGGUAGAGGCUCCUUCUUUGGAGGCUUUUAAGCAGAGGCUGGAUGGCCAUCUGUCGGGGGUGCUUUGAAUGUGAUUUCCUGCUUCUUGGCAGGGGGUUGGACUGGAUGGCCCAUGUGGUCUCUUCCAACUCUACUAAAAUGAUCAAAGAGGGAUUAGGUAACUAUUCAAUUUACUGGAAAGCUGCUCGACUAUAGUUCCAAUAAUAAUACAGAGAAAGCAAGCAGACAAUGCUUCCGUGAAUGUAAUGAAUCCGAACAGUGUAGGAAAUUCAGAGGGUGUAGCGUCAUUAAUGUUAAUUCCACGAAUGUUAAAAUCACAGAGGGGAACAAAUUUGUCGGUAUUAAAGCUGAUAAUGGAUAAAUAAUCGAAAGGAUUCUUAUACUAAACAUGAUUUGAAUGGGGCUGUUCCAUUCUCCUAGUUUCUAGUUUUCUAUAAUUCCCCAUUGAAUACAACAAUAUGGCGCUAUGGAUGCUCUCAAAAAAUAUCCUGAAAGAAUUCCCACAUGGAAAUGCUUGAUUUGAUUUCUGCUAGCAAGUGGAUUGUGGUUCAAAUUACCGUAUAUACUCGAGUAUAAGCCGACCCGAAUAUAAGCCAAGGCACCUAAUUUUAUGACAAAAAAAUCUGGGAAAACAUUGACUCCAGUAUAAGCCGAGGGUGGUGAAUUUCAGAAAUAAAAAUAGAUAUGGUAGAGUCUCACUUAUCCAACAUUCGCUUAUCCAACAUUCUGGAUUGUCAAACGCAGUCUGCCUUUUAGUAGUCAACUAGCUUUGCCCGGCCACGUGUUGCUGUGGCUUAUGGGAAUCCUUUGUUGGGCAGAUGGAAUAGCAGUGAAUUAUUAUUAUUAUUAUUAUUAUUAUUAUUAUUAUUAUUAUUAUUAUUAUUAAACUUUAUUUGUACCCCGCUAGCAUCUCCCGAAGGACUCGAUGUGGCUUACAAAGGCCAAGGUCUCAACACACAAUAUAACAAUACAAAACAAAAAGCAAAUUAAAAACAAUUAAAACAGUAUAAACAACAAGCAAUAACAAUACGCUAAAACACAAUAGAACUGAAUAGCCUUGCAGUCUCAAAGCCUGGCCGUUUUCUGGAGUAGCUGGAGCUGUUUGUUGUAUGAACGUAGAGGCAUGGAUGAGGGGUUGUGCUGCCAAGUUUAGUGUUUCUGGGAUGUGUAGUUUUGUUGUUUUGUCCUAGGCCAAAAUUUCAUUACCAUAUAUAUAUAAAAGAGUGAUGGAAUCCUGGCACCGAGCAAAACAACAAAACUAAACAACCCCCAACCUCGAAAUUUCACAACACAAUCCAUCAUCCACGCCUCGAGGUUGAAACCACAAAAUAUCACGUCACGAACCUCCACAGGGGCUAAAAAACCCCAAAAAAAUGGAGCUAUUCAGUGCAAUUUCAAUGGGCCACAGCAAUGCGUGGCAGGGCACAGCUAGUCCUUUUAUAUAUAUAGAUGUUUUUACAGUCAAUGUUUUCAAUACAUUGUGAUGUUUUGGUACUAAAUUCGUAAAUACAGGAACUACUACGUAGCAUUACUGUGUAUUGAACUACAUUUUCUGUCAAAUUUGAUGUUAAACAUGAUGUUUUGGUGCUUAAUUAGUAAAAUCACAACCUAAUUUGAUGUUUAAUAGGCUUUUCCUUAAUCCCUCCUUAUUAUCCAAGAUUUUCGCUUAUCCAAGCUUCUGCCAGCCCAUUUAUGUUGGAUUAAUGAGACUCUACUGUACCAAUAAAAUUACAUUCAUUGAGGCAUCAGUAGGUUAAAAGUUUAAAGUUUUUGAAUAUUUACAUCAAGCUCAUAUUUAAGAUAAGACUGUCCAACUCUGAUCAAAUCCUUAUUCUCAUCUUCUUCAAUGUAAAUGUGUUUAUGUAUCCUUUUAAUAAUAACAGAGUAAAAUAAUACAUGUAAUAAUAAUAAUAAUAAAUACAGGAAAAUAAUACAAGUAAUAAUAAGUAGAGUAAAAUAAUAAAUGCAAUAAUAAUAAUAUCAGAGUGAAAUAAUAAUAAUAAUAAUAAUAAUAAUAAUAAUAAUAAUAAUAAUAAUAAGGCCACCCUACUGGGAUCUGCACGCAUCAUCCGAAAAUAGAUCACACAGUCCUAGACACUUGGGAAGUGUUCGACUUGUGAUUUUGUGAUACGAAAUCCAGCAUAUCUAUCUUGUUUGCUGUGUCAUAUAAUAAUAAUAAUAAUAAUAAUAAUAAUAAUAAUAAUAAUAAUAAUAAAGUAAAAUAAAUGUAAUAGUAGCAACAAUAAUAGAGAAAAAUAAUAAAUAAUAAUAAAUACAGGAAAAUACAAGUAAUAAUAAAUGCAAACAGUAGAGUCUCACUUAUCCAACACUCGCUUAUCCAACGUUCUGGAUUAUCCAACUCAUUUUUGUACUCAAUGUUU